UGGUUGGCCAAAAAGUUCGUUUAGGUUUUUCCACGUUACGGAUAAACCCGAACAAGCUUUUUUGCCAACUCAA
rnacentral:miRNA from 1 species